GGUCACAUUACGUCGAAACAGCGGUUCUCGUUCGAUCACCGAAGUUAAGUAAUGCUGAGCCUGAUCUGUACCUAGAUGGGUGACUGCUUGGGAAUAACAAGUUCUGUAA